UUGUUUUCAUUCUGCAGUGACUAGAAACGUCGGGGGGGGUAGGGUAUACUCAACGCAAAUGUCAUGAUUAAUCCUCCUUAGGCUUAGGCCUACCUCUCGACUUUUGUUACGAACUUACACGAAGCAGCUUUUUUCUUUUUGUGGAUUUGUCUUUUGUUCCUAUGCAAAGUGCACGAGCAGGACGCAUGAUCCAGACCCUCGCGAAAGUUCACUUUUCCCACUGCAUGCCUGACAUUCCUUGUCCUAUUUUCUGAACAAUGGUGUCGACUUGGUCAGGAAUUUUCGCCUUCAUUUUGGGCAUCGGUCACGAGCGUACACGCCGGUGCUCUGCAGGGACGGGGGACUGCAUCAAAUUUCAGGAUCUCUCCUGUCAGUGAAUGCCACCAUUCUUGCUAUCUAGAUUACGUGGGCAUAAAUGGCGAGCAGUGUGGCGCCAAGUGAUAGCCAUUUUUCCCACAAAGGACCUGCAAUGAUGCCAUGAUGUGGGAGGGGCAUUGCCUUUGGCAUCUGUCGGUCGCAACACAACACGGAUUUGACAUCUUGCAGAGGACAAAAGAAGAUAAAGGCGCUCCUUCCCGGGAAAAGCUGCGUUGUCUUGUCGAGCAGCGAACAGGAUAAACUCUUAGGAGCGAUGGAAAAGAAAAUGCAAAUACCCCGAGGAACAAUCGUCAAGAAAAACAGCGGAGGCUGGCCGCG